rnacentral:rRNA from 1 species
UGCGAAGGGGGCUAGCGUUGCUCGGAAUGACUGGGCGUAAAGGGCUCGUAGGCGGUCCAUCACGUCGGGAGUGAAAAGCUGGGGCUUAACCCCAGUCCUGCUUCCGAUACGGGUGGACUAGAGGUAGGCAGGGGAGAACGGAAUUCCUGGUGUAGCGGUGAAAUGCGCAGAUAUCAGGAGGAACACCGAUGGCGAAGGCAGGUCUCUGGGCCGAUACUGACGCUGAGGAGCGAAAGCGUGGGGAGCGAACAGG